UUAAGUCAGAAGUGAAAUCCAAUAGCUCAACUAUUGAACUGCUUUUGAAACUGAUUACCUAGAAUAUGGGAGAGGUAGAUGGAAUUUCUGGUGUAGGGGUAAAAUCCGUAGAGAUCAGAAGGAAUACCGAUUGCGAAGGCGAUCUACUGGAACAUUAUUGACGCUGAGACGCGAAAGCGUGGGGAGCAAACAGGAUUAGAUACCCUGGUAGUCCACGCCCUAAACGAUGUACACUAGUUGUUGUGAGGCUCGACCUUGCAGUAAUGCAGUUAACACAUUAAGUGUACCGCCUGGGGAGUACGGUCGCAAGAUUAAAACUCAAAGGAAUAGACGGGGACCCGCACAAGCGGUGGAGCAUGUGGUUUAAUUCGACGAUACACGAAGAACCUUACCUGGACUUGACAUAGUAAGAACUUUCUAGAGAUAGAUUGGUGUCUGCUUGCAGAAACUUAUAUACAGGUGCUGCACGGCUGUCGUCAGCUCGUGUCGUGAGAUGUUGGGUUAAGUCCCGCAACGAGCGCAACCCUCGUCAUUAGUUGCUAACAGUUCGGCUGAGAACUCUAAUGAGACUGCCUACGCAAGUAGGAGGAAGGUGAGGACGACGUCAAGUCAUCAUGGCCCUUACGUCCAGGGCUACACACGUGCUACAAUGGGGUAUACAAAGAGCCGCAAUACGGUGACGUGGAGCAAAUCUCAAAAAUAUCUCCCAGUUCGGAUUGUAGUCUGCAACUCGACUACA
rnacentral:rRNA from 1 species